CCGGAUGGAACUCGAUAUAUGUUUCAUUUCUCUCCCUUUUUUGCUUUCUACAAAAGAAAAACCAGGGGAGGGUCGAAAUCGAUUUCGAUCUCCCCAGGAGUCGAUGUGUGCGCGUAUAUAGUGUCCUCUGGAAAUGGGAGCAGCGUGAAAACUGCGGGGUUGCGCGCUCCUUGGGAUUGACAACUCAAUCAAGUUUCUCGGGGCGGACUUUACACGGGUACUCUGGUGUGAACGGAAAGACUCGCCAAGUCAUCCUCGAUCCCCCCCUCCGGAAACGGAGUGUGUUGAAGAGGGACCAGCAAUUGAAGGCCCCUUUUCUAGUGUACAGAUCUCCCAAUUUCCCCGGCCUUGUCGGUCAAGUGAACAACACUCACCCCCAGACGCCUCCCAAAAAAAACAGAAAAAAAAGGAUCUUGACACUCUCGAGUUGCCUGCCGUAUACUCAUUAGUUCUCCAACCUCCUUUUUUUCCACUUUCACGGUCCAUCUGAGCUCAAUUGGCGAGCUCUCUCUCGUGCUGGCGAAAUAAGAAACAACCAAAAAAUAAUAAAGUGGGCGUCGAACGAAGCAUUUGGAUGCGACUCGUCGAGGAAAUAAGUUCCACCAUUUCUGUACGUUAGAAAAUCGCUCAUCUUCAAGUCUCUCUCCCUCUCUCUCCAGUGCACAAGAUCCUAGCUGGAUGGUCUUCGCCUCUUAUUCGUGGAACAAUGGCGGAUUGAAAAAGAAAAGAAAAAACGGGAGAGAGACGCUGCUGUGCUGCGUGCAGCGACGACUAUAUAUCCGCCCUUUAAACAGCAGCAGCAGAAGAGAGGGACGGCCAAGAGGGACUCUAACAAAAUCAAUACGCAGUGUGCACACACACACACCCGACGACGACCAACCAAGCCAGGGCCGCCUCAUCCCGCGCCCGUCUCUCUCUCUCUUUCACGUUUGGAGAAAAUGGGAGAGAACGUCAACGACGGACGCGACGGUGUCGACGACGUCUUUUUCCCGCCCGCUGUCAAGAAAACACGCGUCGUUCUCAGUCGCCUCUUUGUUGGAUGCCAGGGACUCGGCGGUGGCACAUUAUCGCACAUCUCUUAUUUUACAAAUGUACACACGGGCGUAUAGAGAUGUGUUGGAGUCUCUCUCACCCCCCGCUGGCUGUUUGUUCAACUCUUUUUGAAGCUUGAAAUAACCCCUGAAAAAAUUGCAUUUGUUAUUUGCGAUGGCGUGAUGAUUGUUACAUAUAUAACGGUGGAGUUGA